rnacentral:rRNA from 1 species
AUGAGCACGAUCUCGUUGAGCGUGUCCGCCAUCCUCCCGAUGGAGGGCGGGAUGCAGCCGCCGAGCCGGUUGUGCGCGAGCACGACGACGGAGGCCGGCGAGUUGCCGAGGUUGGCGGGGAUGGGGUGGCGGAGGCGGUUGGAGUUGAGGAAGAUGGCGUCGAGCGGGCGGUCGAAGAGCGCCGGCGGGAUGGCGCCCUCGAAGUCGUUGAAGCGGAGGUCGAGGUACUUGAGGGACGGCAGCGCGAGCACCACCUCCGGGAAGGCGCCGACGAAGCGGUUGUUGCUGAGGUCGAGCUCGUGGAGCAGGCGCAGGCGGCGGAAGGUGUCGGGCACCACCCCGCAGAAGCGGUUGGAGUUGAGGUGCAGCAGCGCCAGGUCCGGGAGGCCGAGCGGGAGGGAGGCGGGGAUGUAG